AGGACGAACGCUGGCGGCGUGCCUAACACAUGCAAGUCGAACGAGUCCACUCUUUCGGGAGUGAGGCGAGUGGCGGACGGGUGAGUAACACGUGAGCAACCUGUCCUUGUGCGGGGGACAACCCGGGGAAACCCGGGCUAAUACCGCAUGGGCAGGCACCUCGAGUGGGGAGCCUGGGAAAGAUGGCCUCUUUACAAUGCUGUCGUGCAGGGAGGGCUCGCGGGCUAUCAGCUAGUUGGGGGGGUAAUGGCCCACCAAGGCAGCGACGGCUACGGGGUCUGAGAGGACCGACCCCGCACAUUGGAACUGAGACACGGUCCAGACUCCGUACGGGAGGCAGCAGGUGGGGAAUAGUUGGGACAAGUGGGCGCGAAGCCUAGACCCAGCGACGCCGCGUGGCGGGAUCGGACGCUUCGUCGGAGUCGUAAACCGCGU
rnacentral:rRNA from 1 species